AUGAACGCUAGCGGCAGGCCUAAUACAUGCAAGUCGUACGGCAACACAGUUGCGAGCAAUCGCAACCGGUGGCGAGUGGCGCACGGGUGAGUAACGCGUAUGUAACCUACCCUUCUCCGGGACAUAACUCCGCGAAAGCGGUGCUAAUAUCCCAUACCAACUCAUCAAGACAUCUUCUUGAGUUGAAAGCAGCAAUGCGGUGAAGGAUGGGCAUGCGUCCCAUUAGCUGGUUGGUGAGGUAAUGGCCCACCAAGGCUACGAUGGGUAGGGGUUCUGAGAGGAAAGCCCCCCACACUGGUACUGAGACACGGACCAGACUCCUACGGGAGGCAGCAGUAAGGAAUAUUGGGCAAUGGUCGAAAGACUGACCCAGCCAUGCCGCGUGCAGGAUGAAGGCCCUAUGGGUUGUAAACUGCUUUUAGCCGGGAAUAAACACCCGUUCUAUAACGGGCCCGAAGGUACCGGCUGAAUAAGCAUCGGCUAACUCCGUG
rnacentral:rRNA from 1 species